rnacentral:lncRNA from 1 species
CUUUUUGCCAGUACCUCAACCAAGAGGGCUACCCUCCAGGCUAAGGGACUCCAGCACGAGGAGGUUGUGGGAUAUACCACUGUGGAUGGGAACUGAGUAGAAGGAAUUAGAAGUGCUUGUGCCAGAGAAGAUGCCCCAUGCCAAAGAAAUGAGCCACUGGGAGAUCUCACAGGACAGGGCAGAGAACUCACACCUGCCACUCCAAGAGGGAUCAACUUUUUCAGUGCCUUUAACACACAGAAGCCGCCAUCGGCAGCCUGUCAGGAGAAGCCAGAGGAGCAGCAUAAACCAGUAUAAACCAACAAAGGAAGAAGCACAACUCUACCCAGUUAAAAACAGUGUUCCCUCACUGUGACAGGAUGCCCUGUUGGUUUGUGCUGGUUUCUGCUGCUCCUCUGACUAAUCCCAUCAGGCUGAUGAUGGUGGCCUCUGUGAAAGGCAAUGAAAGAGCCGAUCCCCCAUGGAGAUCUGUGAUGUGAUUGUCAUCAGUUAACCAAUAAGAAGGACAAAAAAUAAAGAAAAGAAAAGGAAACUGAUAUGGAUAAACUUAAACAAAAUUGCCAAAGACAACACAAGUUAAAAAUGUAACGCCACUUGAUUUGCCUUCCCUUUCUGUUUCUCCCCCUAUUCCUCUCAUUCCUCCAAGAAUUUCUGUGAACUACACUGGACAGAUUAACACAUUAAGGCCCUGACUCUUGCUCUUGGGAUCUUGAGCACGAAUUACAAUUGUGCAGAUUUUUAAAAGGCUUCAUCUGAGAGCUUAGCUAAAGCGGAGAUGCAAGAUCAAAAAUAGUAAUGAUUUCUAGAAAAACAGAUAAACAAACAAAAGUAGAACUUAACCAUCUAAGCAAAUUAUAAAACUAG